UGAGGAACAUGACUUUCGGCGGGGGAGUAGCCGGCCCAACGGCCGGGUAAUACCGCGUACGACCCAAUGGAGACAUCUCCGCUGGGUGAAAGCAGCAAUGCACCGAAAGAGUGCCUCGCGGCCUAUCAGCUAGUUGGUGGGGUAAUGGCUCACCAAGGCGACGACGGGUAGCUGGUCUGAGAGGAUGGCCAGCCACAUUGGGACUGAGACACGGCCCAGACCUCCGUAGGGACGG
rnacentral:rRNA from 1 species